UGCCCAGCAACUACUAUUCCUACCUCCUCGUGGUACCGGCCGGAAACUACGAGCAACCUUAGGGAUGAUCGGGUAACCAUCAUCAUCAAUAUACGGUGGGAGCUUUGGUCGUAGGCUGACAGGGAAGG
rnacentral:ribozyme from 1 species